rnacentral:rRNA from 1 species
AACGAACGCUGGCGGCAUGCCUAACACAUGCAAGUCGAACGAGAUCUUCGGGUCUAGUGGCGCACGGGUGCGUAACGCGUGGGAAUCUGCCCUUUGGUUCGGAAUAACAGUUGGAAACGACUGCUAAUACCGGAUGAUGACGAAAGUCCAAAGAUUUAUCGCCAGAGGAUGAGCCCGCGUAGGAUUAGCUAGUUGGUGUGGUAAAGGCGCACCAAGGCGACGAUCCUUAGCUGGUCUGAGAGGAUGAUCAGCCACACUGGGACUGAGACACGGACCAGACUCCUACGGGAGGCAGCAGUGGGGAAUAUUGGACAAUGGGCGAAAGCCUGAUCCAGCAAUGCCGCGUGAGUGAUGAAGGCCUUAGGGUUGUAAAGCCCUUUUACCCGGGAUGAUAAUGACAGUACCGGGAGAAUAAGCUCCGGCUAACUCCGUGCCAGCCGCCGCGGUAA